rnacentral:misc_RNA from 1 species
CAGAGUUGCAAAACUCCCAAACCAUAUGUUUACAUACCUGUUUCGUUGCUUCGGCAGGCGGCCCCUAGGGGCCUUCGCCUCCCGUAGGUGCCUGCCGAAGUACCCUAAACUCUUGUUAAUUACUGUUUCUUCUGAGUAAAACCAUAAUAAGUUA